rnacentral:rRNA from 1 species
AGAGUUUGAUCAUGGCUCAGAAUCAACGCUGGCGGCGUGCCUAACACAUGCAAGUCGAACGCGAAAGCCCCGCAAGGGGCAAGUAGAGUGGCAAACGGGUGAGUAACACGUGGGUGACCUGCCUUCGAGCGGGGGAUAACGUCCCGAAAGGGACGCUAAUACCGCAUAACAUCCUGCCUUUGAAGAGGUGGAGAUCAAAGCUGGGGAUCGCAAGACCCGGCACUUGAAGAGGGGCUCGCGUCUGAUUAGCUAGUUGGUGGGGUAACGGCCUACCAAGGCAACGAUCAGUAUCCGGCCUGAGAGGGCGGACGGACACACUGGGACUGAGACACGGCCCAGACUCCUACGGGAGGCAGCAGUGGGGAAUUGUUCGCAAUGGGCGCAAGCCUGACGACGCAACGCCGCGUGGAGGAUGAAGAUUUUCGGAUCGUAAACUCCUGUCGAAUGGGACGAAUAGGUCGCGGGUUAACAGCCCGCAAUCCUGACGGUACCGUUAAAGGAAACCCCGGCUAACUCCGUGCCAGCAGCCGCGGUAAUACGGGGGGGGUAAGCGUUGUUCGGAAUUACUGGGCGUAAAGGGCUCGUAGGCGGCCAACUAAGUCAUACGUGAAAUCCCUCAGCUUAACUGGGGAACUGCGUGUGAUACUGGAUGGCUUGGAUUUGGGAGAGGGAUGCGGAAUUCCAGGUGUAGCGGUGAAAUGCGUAGAUAUCUGGAGGAACACCGGUGGCGAACGCGGCAUCCUGGACCAAUAUUGACGCUGAGGAGCGAAAGCCAGGGAGCAAACGGGAUUAGAUACCCCGGUAGUCUGUCCUAAACGAUGAUGCUGUGUAGCGGGUAUCGAUCCCUGCUGUGC